GCAGUAAUAAUUCAGUGGUAGAAUUCUUGCCUUCCAUGUAGGAGAACCGGGUUCAAUUCCUGGUCAAGGCA
rnacentral:tRNA from 1 species